AUCACUUUUUCCCUCUUCCCCCGGUGGAGUAUAGGGGACGGAGCAGGGUGCAGAGGGGUGUGUCAGAGCACAGAUGGGCUCUAUUUUGAUUAUGGAGCGUGUGUUGUUAUGGGAGAUGGAAGGAGGGGAGGGGCCACGUGGUUACAGCGCUGCCUACUGGGAAUUCCUGCCUGUGCUGCUUUGAAGUGAGCCUGCUCUUGUCUGAUGAAUAGAGAGGGGAACAGGUGUUGGAGCUGGCUGACUCAUCUGUUCAGCGUGUGCUCUUUGCAUUCAUUACUGUGCUCAAUGAUCAAGCCAUAAAAAAACACAUUACACCUAAUAAAGUAGAAGUGAAAAGCAA